rnacentral:lncRNA from 1 species
CUGCCCCAUUGAUUCCACUGCGGCUCAAGCAAAUGAGAGUUAGCCAGAUUCAUGGUUUUACCACAGCACGGUCCAGUCGUUCUGAGUGUACAAGAAUGACCGCAUCAGGGAUGUGCGCCUAAUUAAGCACUUAGUCGAUAACCCACUCCCUCUGGGCUGAGGCAUUUGCCUCAUCCACUGAAGGAACGAGAUCAAGCUGGGCAGUGAGCGUGGGUAAUCCAUGCAAGAAGAACUCCUUUAAGUGACCCAUAGAACCGGACUUGCGGACUGCGGGUGAGGACGAGGGUGAGGACGCGGGUGAGGACAUUCUUUAGAGAAAUCUCAGUCUGCAGCUGAGAAGACACAUUGAAAUCGCGGCAGUAGUGCAGAUCCUGGCUUUAAAUCACAUUGCACCCCCUACUGGAACAGGCAGUGCUGUAAACCUCAGAUGUCAGAAGCAUUUCUGAAAAUCUAGAAUUAUAUUUCGUUAUCGGCGGGAGAGCAGACCUUUUGACUCGUGGAAAAUGCCCAACACUGAGUUACUUCGGGGACUGCUCUGUAAAACAAAGUCUCUUUAGAAGCCAAACUUAAUCAUGCAGUUAAAUUAGCACACUCUAUGACUGUUUAUAAAAAUAAAAUGAUUAAGCCCGAAUACGCC